rnacentral:rRNA from 1 species
CUACGGGACGCAGCAGUGAGGAAUUUUGCGCAAUGGGGGCAACCCUGACGCAGCAACGCCGCGUGAGUGAUGAAGGCCUUUGGGUCGUAAAACUCUGUCAGCAGGGAAGAAGUUAUGGAAUGUUAAUACCAUUUCAUAUUGACGGUACCUGCAAAGGAAGCACCGGCUAACUCCGUGCCAGCAGCCGCGGUAAUACGGGGGGUGCAAGCGUUAUUCGGAAUUAUUGGGCGUAAAGGGCGCGUAGGCGGCCUGCCAGGUCAGAUGUGAAAGCCCGGGGCUUAACUCCGGAAGUGCAUUUGAAACCGGUAGGCUUGAGUAUGGGAGAGGAAAGUGGAAUUCCUGGUGUAGAGGUGAAAUUCGUAGACAUCAGGAGGAACACCAGUGGCGAAGGCGACUUUCUGGACCAAUACUGACGCUGAGGCGCGAAGGCGUGGGUAGCAAACAGGAUUAGAUACCCGUGUAGUC